CUACUGGUUGUUCAUCUACUUCUGUAUGUGCUUUGUCUGAUUAUUGUAAUGAUGACAAUGUGUCUGACAGCAAGGAUGUUGCCUUGCCUUCAACUAUGCAUAAUUCCAUUUGUAAUAAUGCUGUUACAACUGAUAUGAAUUACAUUUGGCAUUUAAGACUAGCACAUACUUCCUUUGCAAAUAUGAGACAUAUUUCUGGUUUGUCUUUUCGAUUUGCUUCUAAACAACCUUUUCCUUGUUCUGUCUGUCCUAUGGCUAAACAAAUCAGACUCCCUUUUCCUGAUAGCAGUAUCAGUACUACUAGGCCUUUUCAAUUGAUACAUGUGGAUACUUGGGGCCCUUACCAUACUUCUACUUCUUCUGGUUGUAGAUAUUUCCUUACAAUAGUCGAUGAUUUCUCUAGGGCAACCUGGACACACUUAAUGGGCUUUAAAAGCAAUGCCUUCUCCCUGCUUAAAUCUUUCAUCUGUUUGGUUAAAACUCAAUUUAAUACUGUGGUUCAAACUGUUAGAAGUGACAAUGCUUUAGAAUAGGGGUCUAGCAUUGAGGGUAUAUAUUUUUUUAGUAGCCAGGGGAUUAUUCAUCAAACCUUCUGCCCUCAUUCACCUCAACAGAAUGGUGUUGUUGAAAGAAAGCAUAGAACCCUUCUUGAAACAUGUAGAGCCUUACUUUUUCAAUCUGGCCUACCUGUGUCUUUUUGGGGGAUUGUCUAUUGACUGCUACUUAUCUCCUCAAUAGAAUACCAUCCAGAUUACUUCACAAUAAGUCUCCCAAUGAAAUUUUGUAAGGGACAGCUCCAUCCUAUUCUCAUUUGAGGGCAUUUGGGUGCCUUGCUUAUGCUAUUGUCCCCAUUCCUUAAAGGGACAAGUUAAAGCCUAGAGCCUUGUCUUGUGUUUUUCUGGGUUACCCAUUUGCCAAAAAGGGUUAUAAACUGUAUGAUCUGGCUUCCAAGAAAUGUUUUGUCUCCAGGGAUGUUAUAUUCCAUGAAACAUGUUUUCCUUUUAAGUGUAAACCUUCUUCUGCUCAUUCUUCUCCUUCAUCUUUUCCUUUUAUUCCUCCUGCUGAGCAUUCCACUGACCCAAAUUUUCCUAUACCUGAUUCCUCUCCUUCUUCCCCUACAUCUGAUCCAGCCCCUAAUGCUACUGUUCCUGAUUUUACUGAUACUGAUCCAGCUCCUCUUCCUUCUUUCAAUCAUGAUAUCUCUCCUCCUGUUUUACCUUCUUCUCAACCUCUUCCUGCUCAUAGAAAAUCCACUAGACAGCAUAAUACUCCAUCCUAUAAAAAGGAUUAUGUUUGCCAACUCCCUGCCUUUUCUGGAUCCUCUUCUUCUACCUUGGAAUCUGAACCUUUAUAUUACUCUCAAGCUGCAUCUGUUCCAGCAUGGCAGGAUGCCAUGAGACAGGAGUUUGAUGCUUUGGAAGCAAACCAUACUACCUUGGAAUCUGAACCUUUAUAUUACUCUCAAGCUGCAUCUGUUCCAGCAUCACAGGAGCCAUGAGAUAGGAGUUUGCUGCUUUGGAAGCAAACCAUACCUGGGAUGUUAUUCCUCUUCCUCCUGGUAAGAAACCCAUUGGAUGUAAAUGGUCUAUAAAAUCAAAUACAAGGCUGAUGGUACUGUUGAAAGGUAUAAAGCUAGGCUUGUUAUUAGGGGUGAUACUCAAGUUGAAGGGAUUGAUUUUACUGAUAACUUUUCUCAUGUGAUUAAAAUGACUACUGUGAAAUGUCUUAUUGCUGUGGCUAUCAAGAAUCAUUGGCCUCUGUUUCAACUUGAUGUUAAUAAUGCUUUUCUACAUGGUGAUUUGGACGAGGAAGUCUAUAUGAAACUUCUCCCAGGUUCGACAGUAUCUGCUCCUUUUUCUGGUUCUGUUUCUUCUACAUCUUCUACUCCUUCUCCUCUGGUUUGUAAGCUCAAGAAAUCCCU
rnacentral:lncRNA from 1 species